rnacentral:rRNA from 1 species
CGUGGAUUAGGCAUGCAAGUCGAACGAGAACCGGGUAGCAAUAUCCGGGGAAAGUGGCGAAAGGGGCAGUAAGGCGUGGGUAACCUACCCUGGGGUUGGGCAUAGCCGGUCUAACGGCCGGGUAAUUCCCAGCGACGUCGAUGGGGGACAUCCCCUGACGACCAAAGAUUCAUCGCCCCGGGAGGGGCCCACGUGAUAUUAGCUAGUUGGUGGGGUAACGGCCCACCAAGGCGAAGAUGUCUAGCGGGUGUGAGAGCACGACCCACGCCACUGGCACUGAGACACUGGCCAGACUCCUACGGGAGGCUGCAGUCGAGGAUCUUCGGCAAUGGGCGCAAGCCUGACCGAGCGACGCCGCGUGUGCGAUGAAGGCCUUCGGGUUGUAAAGCACUGUCGAGGGGGAGGAAGCCGCAAGGUUGACCUAUCCCUGGAGGAAGCACGGGCUAAGUUCGUGCCAGCAGCCGCGGUAAGACGAACCGUGCGAACGUUGUUCGGAAUCACUGGGCUUAAAGGGCGCGUAGGCGGGCUUGAUAGUCCGUGGUGAAAGCCCCCGGCUUAACC